AACGAACGCUGGCGGCAUGCCUAACACAUGCAAGUCGAACGAAGUCUUCGGACUUAGUGGCGCACGGGUGCGUAACGCGUGGGAAUCUGCCCUUGGGUGCGGAAUAACUUCUCGAAAGGGAUGCUAAUACCGCAUAAUGUCGUAAGACCAAAGAUUUAUCGCCCAAGGAUGAGCCCGCGUAAGAUUAGCUAGUUGGUGGGGUAAAAGCCUACCAGGGCGACGAUCUUUAGCUGGUCUGAGAGGAUGAUCAGCCACACUGGGACUGAGACACGGCCCAGACUCCUACGGGAGGCAGCAGUGGGGAAUAUUGGACAAUGGGCGAAAGCCUGAUCCAGCAAUGCCGCGUGAGUGAUGAAGGCCCUAGGGUUGUAAAGCUCUUUUACCAGGGAUGAUAAUGACAGUACCUGGAGGAUAAGCUCCGGCUAACUCCGUGCCAGCAGCCGCGGUAAUGUGACUACUG
rnacentral:rRNA from 1 species